UGUUUAGGCCAAACUCAGAACCUACCUAGCUUCAACCUUAUCUCCAUCGAUCUCACCUCCUUCAAGCUCAACCUCCGGCUCCUCGACGCCGACCGCUUUGUAUUGCUGAGAUGAAGAACAUGGAUGGAAGGAAAGGUCAGAGAAGUCGAAAAAUUACCAGGAGAUUGCCAGAUUUUAGGAAUUUGUAGACUUGGUAAUUGCUAAUCUAAGAUUAUGGAGGUUGGGGGGUUCAUUUGCUUCUGCAUGAGGAGCUCGAACUGUUGCUGGUGUUUAUUGCAGAAGCACUCGAAGAUCAGAUCGAGACCCAUAUUGAUCUUCUUGAUAAAAAACUCAGAUCGAAACCCAGCCGGCCUGGACUUGAUGGCUUAUGCUCAAAUCGGGUCUGGAAAUACGGUGGCGUUUUGCUUCCCGAUUUGCAGUUUGAGGUCGGGUUGAGGAUGGAGAUGGGUCUGAGGUUCGAUCUGAUUCAGCUGACUCAAAUCUGGCUGACUCAGCUGAUUCGAAUUGAGUCCGAUCCGAUUCUAUAACGAUUCUCUACGUUUUUUGACAGGUUCAGCCAUGAAAGAUGGGAAAUCCAGAGCCGCGGUGCCGAAAUGAUCCGAUAGAAGCUGGUGUUCUUCAUGCCUCGAUAUGCUUCAGGUUUUCUACUUGAACAAUUCUAGCUAUGGUUGAAUUUGAUUGUUUGUACGAGAAUGGUUGAUAAAUCUUAUUACCUGUAGAAUAGAAAAGUAGAAGGGCAUUUUGUUAAAUGCAUGAGAGCUUUCUUAUUGUGCGAGUGCAAAAUUUAUAGGCAACAUGGAGUAAUAGAAAAUUUACUCUUUGUUGAUGGGAUCAUAGAUGUUACUUCAUCUGCAACUUGUUUAUUUAUAUGUUUCAUCAAAGAUUCAUUUUUGCUGUUUUUAUGACUUGAUAUUGACAUAAUGUUAUCUUCCUUU